rnacentral:rRNA from 1 species
CAGUAGCCGCGGUAAUACGUAGGUGGCAAGCGUUGUCCGGAAUUAUUGGGCGUAAAGGGCUCGCAGGCGGUUUCUUAAGUCUGAUGUGAAAGCCCCCGGCUCAACCGGGGAGGGUCAUUGGAAACUGGGAAACUUGAGUGCAGAAGAGGAGAGUGGAAUUCCACGUGUAGCGGUGAAAUGCGUAGAGGUGUGGAGGAACACCAGUGGCGAAGGCGACUCUCUGGUCUGUAACUGACGCUGAGGAGCGAAAGCGUGGGGAGCGAACAGGAUUAGAGACCCCUGUAGUCCCUGUCUCUUAUAC